rnacentral:tRNA from 1 species
GCCCUUGUAGCUCAGUUGGCAGAGCACAUCCAUGGUAAGGAUGAGGUCAACGGUUCGAUCCCGUUCGAGGGCUCUA